rnacentral:rRNA from 1 species
ACUGCUCAGUAACACGUGGACAAUCUAACCUACGGAAGAGGAUAACCCCGGGAAACUGGGGAUAAUACUCUAUAGACUAUGGAGGCUGGAAUGCACUGUAGUCCAAAGGUCCGCCGCCGUAGGAUGGGUCUGCGGCCGAUUAGGUUGUUGUUGGGGUAACGGCCCAACAAGCCUGUGAUCGGUACGGGUUGUGGGAGCAAGAGCCCGGAGAUGGAUUCUGAGACACGAAUCCAGGCCCUACGGGGCGCAGCAGGCGCGAAAACUUUACAAUGCGGGAAACCGUGAUAAGGGAACUCCGAGUGCCCGUAAAAUCGGGCUGUCCACCAGUUUAAAUAACUGGUGAAGAAAGGGCCGGGCAAGACCGGUGCCAGCCGCCGCGGUAAUACCGGCGGCUCGAGUGGUGGCCACUAUUACUGGGCUUAAAGCGUUCGUAGCUGGUUUGUUAAGUCUCUGGGGAAAUCUUCCGGCUUAACCGGAAGGCGUCUCAGGGAUACUGGCAGACUAGGGACCGGGAGAGGUGAGGGGUACUCCAGGGGUAGGAGUGAAAUCCUGUAAUCCUUGGGGGACCACCUGUGGCGAAGGCGCCUCACCAGAACGGCUCCGACAGUGAGGGACGAAAGCUGGGGGAGCAAACCGGAUUAGAUACCCGGGUAGUCCCAGCCGUAAACGAUGUGCAUUAGGUGUAUCGGUGACCACGAGUCACCGAGGUGCCGAAGAGAAAUCGUGAAAUGCACCGCCUGGGAAGUACGGUCGCAAGGCUGAAACUUAAAGGAAUUGGCGGGGGAGCAC